rnacentral:rRNA from 1 species
GGGGGGGGGGGGGGGGGGGGCGAGGAGAGGGGGGGGGGGCGAGAGGGGGGGGGAUGGUGGCGCAGGGGGGGGUAAGGGGGGGGAACGUGCCGUUAGGGUGGGAGUAACUCCCCGAAGGGGUGGAUAGUAGCGGAUAGGGUCUGCGGACGAAAGAUUUAUCGCCUUUGGAGGGGCCGGCGUUGGAUUAGCUAGUUGGUAGGGUAAAAGCCUACCAAGGCGACGAUCCAUAGCUGGUCUGAGAGGAUGAUCAGCCACACUGGGACUGAGACACGGCCCAGACUCCUACGGGAGGCAGCAGUGGGGAAUAUUGGACAAUGGGCGAAAGCCUGAUCCAGCAAUGCCGCGUGAGUGAUGAAGGCCUUAGGGUUGUAAAGCUCUUUUACCCGGGAUGAUAAUGACAGUACCGGGAGAAUAAGCUCCGGCUAACUCCGUG